rnacentral:lncRNA from 1 species
AUGCUGUUCCUGCACUGCUCCAUGUCUGUGGGCCUCCAGCCGUCGCCGUCCUCCAAGAGCUGCACCUACGACAAGGCGACGGGCAGGUGGCUGGAGCUGGAGGCCUCCCCGUCCGUGUGCUCCUGCUGUGAGAGCGUCUGUGUGGACUCCGGCCGCGCCGACAGCACCACAGUGAGCAGCGCAGCCUGGAACAUGGCACAGCUCCCACACCAACGGCACCAUGAUGUGUCUCUGAGGAGAGGACAACAAGGCCUGACAGAGGAGCUACUGCACCAUGAUGACGUGUCUCUGAAGAGAGGACAACAAGGCCUGACAGGGAAGCUUCUGCACCAUGAUGAGUGUCUCUUGAAGAGAGGAGAAACUAGGCCAGAACAGGGGAGCUUCUGCCC